rnacentral:rRNA from 1 species
CGAAAGCCUGACGGAGCAAUACCGCGUGAGGGAGGAAGGCUUUUGGGUUGUAAACCUCUUUUCUCGAGGAAGAAAAAAAUGACGGUACUUGAGGAAUAAGCAUCGGCUAACUCCGUGCCAGCAGCCGCGGUAAUACGGAGGAUGCAAGCGUUAUUCGGAAUUAUUGGGCGUAAAGCGUCCGCAGGUGGUAUUUCAAGUCUGCUGUCAAAGACCGAAGCUUAACUUCGGAAAGGCAGUGGAAACUGAAAAACUAGAGUACGGUAGGGGUAGAGGGAAUUUCCAGUGUAGCGGUGAAAUGCGUAGAGAUUGGAAAGAACACCAGUGGCGAAGGCGCUCUACUGGGCCGUAACUGACACUCAGGGACGAAAGCUAGGGGAGCG